rnacentral:lncRNA from 13 species
UUAUUUGGAAGAAGACUUGAUUUCAUAGCAGAGAAUUACUAAUUGUGGCUCAGAGAAUCCUUUCCAGAUGGAUGUAGGUUGGUCCAAAACACAAAAGGACCCAAUUGGUCUAAAGCCUGGAUGAGAGUCCCAGAGAGAAUUGGAUGAAGGUUGGAGGGAAUUAUUUCUGUUCUGGAUCUGCAUCUACAGUAUCUGUAGAAUGAAGCUAAACUGAGCAAGAGGAGAGGAGAACAGAAUGCAUCUUUGGUUUCCUCUCCCUUCUUUCCACCCGUAUUUUAAGAGAAAGCAAUGUACCAGAUGAGCUCAGAGAAUCAAAGGAAAAGAGGAUAAUCGCACUUCAGAAAGAAGAGGGAUUAAGGUGGCUAUGGGGGACCUACACUGAAGGAGUGAGGAGCUUCACAAGAACUGAAGAAAAGAAGUUUACAGGAACUAAGCUCUGAAAAAUAUACGCCACAGAGAGAAUCCAGAUAGCCCAUCUUC